AACUUUCAACAACGGAUCUCUUGGCUCUCGCAUCGAUGAAGAACGCAGCGAAAUGCGAUAAGUAAUGUGAAUUGCGGAAUUCAGUGAAUCAUCGAAUCUUUGAACGCACCUUGCGCCCCUUGGUAUUCCGAGGGGCAUGCCUGUUUGAGUGUCA
rnacentral:rRNA from 1 species